AAAAGAAAAACUAUUUUUGAAUCUAUAGGGUUGGAGCUUCUAUUGUUUAGUUAAUUUUUUUGGAAAGCAUUGCGUCUCAUACCUGGCUUUUCAUUGGAAUUUCCCAGGAUGGUGUUUAAACAUGUAGAUUCCAGAGCCAACCAGAACCCAGGAAAUCAGAAUCUCCAGAGUGGGUCCAGGGAUCUCUGGUUAAAAUGUUCCACAUAUGAUUCUGAUGGUGAGCCACAAUUGGAGACAUUUGGUCUACUUAAGAUAAACUGUUUCAAGAACCUCCCAGCAGUUUGGGAAGACUUAAUUCCAUGGAAAUGGAACUGCUUCUAUGUGUGCAAAGUUUCCCAAGAAAACAGAGGAAGUCAGCUUAUAAAUAAUCAUUCAUAAGCAAGUUGAAAAGGACCCUGAAAACCUGAGGCUGACUGGUCUACUUGGACACCUAGAAAAUACAAAAUAGACUCACCAGAGACGGUGAAAUAAUCUAUCCAAUUGGGGGCCUGGGGCCUGGAAUGGGAGCUCCUGACUCACUAACCACAUAUACUUUUAAAAUUUCUUUCCUUUUCCUUUUUUUGUUGUGAGUGUGUAAUAAAAAGUUGCUUAGGUGUGAUACAGGUAAUUGCUGAAGCCCCACUGUUAGUGUUUAACAU
rnacentral:lncRNA from 1 species